GCGGAGGUGGCGAAAUUGGUAUACGCAUUAGAUUUAGGAUCUAAAAGAAAAAUAAUUUCUAUGAGAGUUCGAACCUCUCCUUCCGUA
rnacentral:tRNA from 1 species